rnacentral:pre_miRNA from 1 species
UGUAAACAUCCUACACUCUCAGCUGUGAAAAUUAAGAAAGCUGAGAGAAGGCUGUUUACUCU